UACGGGGGGGGCAAGCGUUGUUCGGAAUUACUGGGCGUAAAGGGCUCGUAGGCGGCCAACUAAGUCAGACGUGAAAUCCCUCGGCUUAACCGGGGAACUGCGUCUGAUACUGGAUGGCUUGAGUUUGGGAGAGGGAUGCGGAAUUCCAGGUGUAGCGGUGAAAUGCGUAGAUAUCUGGAGGAAUACCGGUGGCGAAGGCGGCAUCCUGGACCAUAACUGACGCUGAGGCGCGAAAGCUAGGGGAGCAAACGGG
rnacentral:rRNA from 1 species